UACGAAGGGGGCGAGCGUUGUUCGGAUUUACUGGGCGUAAAGGGCGCGCAGGCGGCUCAUUUUGUCAGGCGUGAAAGCCCCGGGCUCAACCUGGAACCGCGCUUGAGACUGGCAUGCUCGAGUUCGGGAGAGGAUGGUGGAAUUCCCAGUGUAGAGGUGAAAUUCGUAGAUAUUGGGAAGAACACCGGAUGGCGAAGGCAGCCAUCUGGACCGACACUGACGCUGAGGCGCGAA
rnacentral:rRNA from 1 species